GACGAACGUUUUCGGCGUGCUUAACACAUGCAAGUCGAACGUUUCCCCCUGAGCUUGCUCCGGUGGCUUCUUUUCUUAUUUGUGAGUAACACGUGAGUAACCUGCCCUUGACUCUUUUCUCCGUGCGGGAAACUGUAGCUAAUUCCUUCUCCUCACCUCGGCGGCAUCGCCAGGGUUUUUCUCUUUGUUCGGUCAAGGAUGGACUCGCGGCCUAUCAGCUAGUUGGUGAGGUAACGGCUCACCAAGGCGACGACGGGUAGCCGGCCUGAGAGGGUGACCGGCCACACUGGGACUGAGACACGGCCCAGACUCCUACGGGAGAAAAGAGUGGGGACAAUUGCACAAUGGGCGCAAGCCUGAUGCAGAACAACCGCGUCAGGGAAGACGGCCUUCGGGUUGUAAACCUCUUUGAGCAGGGCAGAAGCGAAAGUGACGGUACCUGCAGAAAAAGCACCGGCUAAAUAAGGGAAAGAAACCGCCGUAA
rnacentral:rRNA from 1 species